GACAUCAAGCCUGACCUUCGUCUAUUACAAGAUGAAAACGAAACAUUUCUCUUCACUGAACGUCUUGUACUGGCAGUAUCAAAAGACUUUCGCCGUGUCCUAGUGGUGUGAAGCGUGUUCAGCCCAGCUGUAGGCAGCAGUACCUGGGCCAACGAGGCCAUGGCGAUGAGGGCCGCGGCCGCCAGGACGGUGUAUCCCUGCAUGGCGCUGGUAGCACGAGGGAAGAGGUGAGUAUCACAGAAAAGGGUUCUCGACGUGCACGGCGCGACGCGGCCGGACAACGACUCAGUCUGACGGGUAACUCGACAAUCGGUGGCACCGGUCGCCGGGCAGCGCUUAAA